rnacentral:rRNA from 1 species
GCAAGUCGAACGGUAGAAGGGAGCUUGCUCCCUUUGAGAGUGGCGAACGGGUGAGUAACACGUAGAUAAUCUGCCCUUUAGUUGGGGAUAGCCCAUGGAAACAUGGGGUAAUACCGAAUAAUCUUGUGUUGUAAUGAUAAUAAGGAAAGGAGCUAAGGCUUCGCUGAAGGAUGAGUCUGCGGUUCAUUAGCUAGUUGGUGGGGUAAAGGCCUACCAAGGCGACGAUGAAUAGCCGGCCUGAGAGGGUGAUC